UGCGUGCUCUGAUACAAGAUAAUGCUAUCAUACAAUAGAAAAUAUUCCCUACCUGCUACCAAGAUCAGUUUUACUGCUGAGGACACAGGCAGGCAACCUAGAGGCUCUCCAAGCAUGACAGUGCAUACUGCCACAUCCAACAGUGCACACAAGACUGGUACAAAAGAAUAGCUGGUCAUGAAGAGCAACAGGAAAGAACUAUUCUGGUACACAGCGAUCCUCUGUUUCGCUGAUUUGUGCCAUCACACUCACAAGAACCAUGUAAGUACAACCAUGAACAGAACAAAAUGGAAGCUGUCUCCAGAAGGGAAAGUCCCGUACCAUCUUUCACCCUGCAAUGUUUCCAGCACAUUACUUAACAACAAACAAUCCAGAAAGUGAACUUUGUUCUGUAUUAUCACAUUGGAGCUUUCCCACCUGCAGCCAAAGCAAGCGGUAGGAUCACAAAGGCUGAUUGCGUAUUGAUUUUGCAAGAGACUGCACAUAACUUCAGAGAGCACCAAUGACAGCUUUUGCUAUCAACACACCUCACUUUCCAGCAAAGUUGGAAAUAAAACCUUAUUCACCUUUCAGCUGAAGGUUUUCUGUGCUGCUGACCAUUUCUGAUUAACCAGCUCAUCUACAGGUGCUUACAAGUUAGAUACUAAGCCUCUGAGAUAAACAGGUCACUUCAACAUAACUUACUUUUUUCCUUUCACAAGUGAAUUGCUAAGAAACUUAUACCUACCCCUCUGAGAAAAAGAACAGUGGAGCCCAUAAAGCCUUCUGGAUAUUUUGUUUUUUACAAUAAUACUUUUCAUUACAUAGUUGAUAGAGGAAAGCAAUUUUCCUCCUCAUGCUUACUUGCAUACAAAUCAAAAACACUGAGUAUUUCUGGCUGUAGUAAAUAACA